AUACGGAAGGUCCGGGCGUUAUCCGGAUUUAUUGGGUUUAAAGGGAGCGCAGGCGGAGAUGCAAGCGUGACGUCAAAUUUCGGGGCUCAACCCCGUCUCGCGUCGCGAACUGCGUCCCUUGGUUGCGGGAAGGGGAGGCGGAACUCGUGGUGUAGCGGUGAAAUGCAUAGAUAUCACGAAGAACUCCGAUCGCGAAGGCAGCCUUCCGGCCCGUCAACGACGCUCAUGCUCGAAGGUGCGGGUAUCAAACAGGAUUAGGUACCCUGGUAGUCCGCACAGUAAACGAUGGACACCCGCGGUUUGGCCUGUAUGGCUGAGCCGCCAAGCGAAAGCGUUAAGUGUCCCACCUGGGGAGUACGCCGGCAACGGUGAAACUCAAAUGAAUUGACGGGG
rnacentral:rRNA from 1 species